CUCCCCCUGCUCACCAACUCACCCACUCCCACUUCCUGGCCCUGGCAUUCCCUUACACUGAGGCAUAGAACCUUCACAGGACCAAGGGCUUCUCCUCCCAUUGAUGACUGACAAUUCACAGACCAUAUGAAGAUCAAGAAGAAGGAAGACCAAAAUGUGGAUACGUUGAUCCUUCUUAGAAAGGAGAACAAAAUACCCAUGGGAGGAGUUACAGAGACAAAGUGUGGAGCAGAGACUGAAGGAAAGACCAUCCAGAGACUGCCCCACCUGGGGAUCCAUCCAUCCCAUAUACAGUCAUCAAAUCCAGACACUAUUGUGGAUGCCAACAAGGGCUUGCUGACAGAAGCCUUAUAUAGCUGUCUCCUGAGAGGCUCUGCCAGUUCCUGACAAAUACAGAAGUGGAUGCUUUCAGUCAACCAUUCGACUGAGCACAGGGUGCCCAAUAGAGGAACUAAAGGACCCUAGGAGCUGAAGCUGAAAUUUUUAAUAUAAUGCCUCUUAGCCUGGUUUGGAGAAAACGUCACAGAGAGGCACCAUUUGUUGUGGUUUUACAUGAAAAUUUUCUGACCCUGAACCUGGUUUGAUGGAAAUCAUUUGCUGAGGUUAUUUAGAAAAUUGUUACCUCAAAAAUGACCUAGGGGUCCUUAGAAUAAUAACACACAGAAGAAUAGCCUCAUUUUUCUGUUGGGCCCAGGAAACCAUGCCGAUUACCGACCGAGCUCUCAAUGGAAAAAUGCAGUCGGCGUGAACCACGCACGAACACAGCAGAGAAAGAAGAAAACACACACCACGAGGAACCCUAAUAGGACAAUACAUUAUAAGUCACAGUGCUACGGAGAAACCCAGUAGCCACAUGGAAGCAGAGACCAUGCAUAUGCAUCUACUCCGCAGCUCUGUGAAUGUCAGCAGCUCCCACGGACUGGAGAUCCCGUGAGAUCCCGUGAGAUCUCACCCAUAGCCUCAUGGUACAUCCACUUGGUGUGCUGGGAGAGUCAGGAUGAGGACCUGAGAAGAACAGCAGCUUGAACCUGACUUCAUUUAACAGCCCACUGCCCUCUUGCCAAGAACCCAUCACAGACCUUCCCAGAAGAGAGGGAUGAGCCUCACCUAUGAAUAAGUCCUCAGAAACUCAAAUUUGAUUCUAAUGGAUUGUUUUCUCAGAAAGACUGAGCAUGUCCCCCCACAUCUCUGUCAUUUCCCACAGUAGUAACCUCUGCAGAUGCCACAUAGAAAACAAAACAAAACAAAAAAACAUGAGGUUGGUGGGCAGAUAGGCAGGGUAUAAACAAACAGCCUUGUAACCCAGAAGCUGUGUGAUAUACAGUAAACUUCACAACACUGAAAAGAUGUCCUAUCUGUUAAAAUGGGGUAAUAACAACUACCCGAAUGUUUAGGAAUAGAACUUCAAUAAAUGAUACAUUUUAUAGUACAGCAGACCAUCCUGUAAAGGUUUCAUCCUUCACUGUGGUGAUAAAUAUCCCAAACCACAUUGAAAAGCAUUGCAUCUACAUUUAUCUACACUGUAACUGUACUGUAAAUCAUGGGGGAGGGGAGAAUCAUAAAAACACCACCUGUCACCGUGUCAUUAAAGCAAGUUGGAAGUGAUACUUACAGAAACACAGCAAGAGCACCCCCAGUCACACAGUUCAAUCUCUUAGCAAGCGUUUUCUUUCUAGCCCAGUGGUUCUCAGUUUGGAAUUUUUGGCACUGCCUAGAGAUAGUUUUGUUGUUAAAACUGAGAAAAGAGCCGGGCGUGGUGGCACACGCCUUUAAUCCCAGCACUCAGGAGGCAGAGGCAGG
rnacentral:lncRNA from 1 species